rnacentral:tRNA from 1 species
UGGUCUGCGGCUUAUUUGGCUAAAGCGCCAGUCUUGCAAAUACGGAGUCGUGGGUUGGAAUCCCACCAGAACGC